UACGGAGUGUGCAAGCGUUACUCGGAAUCACUGGGCAUAAAGCGCACGUAGGCGGGGAGGUGUGUCGGUGGUGAAAGCCCCCAGCUCAACUGGGGAACUGCCUCCGAAACUGCUUCUCUUGAGGACGAGAGGGGAGAGUGGAACUUCUGGUGGAGCGGUGAAAUGCGUAGAUAUCAGAAGGAACACCGGUGGCGAAAGCGACUCUCUGGCUCGUAUCUGACGCUGAGGUGCGAAAGCGUGGGUAGCAAACAGGAUUAGAUACCCUGGUAGUCCACGCCGUAAACGAUGGGCACUAGGCAGGGGAGGUUCCGAUGCCUUCUCUGCUGCAGCUAAUGUAUUAAGUGCCCCGCCUGGGGAGUACAGUCGCAAGGCCGAAACUCAAAGGAAUUGACGGGGGCUCACACAAGCGGUGGAGCAUGUGGUUUAAUUCGAAGCGACGCGCAGAACCUUACCUGGGUUUGACAUGUACGGAUUAGCUUCUGGAAACAGGGGUGACACUCGCAAGAGUGGAACGUGCACAGGUGCUGCAUGGCUGUCGUCAGCUCGUGUCGUGAGAUGUCGGGUUAAGUCCCUUAACGAGCGAAACCCUUGCCGUUAGUUGCCAGCGGAUCACGCCGGGGACUCUAGCGGGACUGCCGUGGUCAACACGGAGGAAGGUGGGGAUGACGUCAAGUCCUCAUGGCCCUUAUGCCCAGGGCUACACACGUGCUACAAUGGCCGGUACAGAGCGACGCGAAGCCGCGAGGUGGAGCUAAUCGCAAAAAGCCGGUCCCAGUACGGAUUGCGGGCUGCAAUUCGCCCGCAUGAAGCUGGAAUCGCUAGUAAUCGCGCAUCAGCACUGGCGCGGUGAAUAUGUUCCUGAGCC
rnacentral:rRNA from 1 species